UGGUGCAGGUUGCCUUUAGUAACAGGUUGCACCUGGUGCAGGUUGCCUUUAGUAACAGGUUGCAUCUGGUGCAGGUUGCCUUUAGUAACAGGUUGCACCCAGUGCCGGUAAAAAUAAAUCCUCCACUAUCUUAUAGCUGUCAUUGUGUGUUUUAAUUGGGAAGUAAGUGGCUGGAAGUAACAAGACUUGUUACAAACAUAAACAUUUGUGUACUUAUUAAUCAGUUAUGUAGCAGUAAUCAUAUCAUUGAGAUUUAUAAAUAAAGGUAAUGCAAAUCUGAAACAGAAUCAUUCAUCAUUAUCAUCAU